GUUAUAUUUAUCCCCUUAUUUUAGGCACUAAUACUUCCAUUCAUUUUUUAAACUGGUACUGGGGACAUGCAGACUAGUCUUGUGAGGCUAGUGGGUACCCUACAACAAAACGGAGAACACUUGUGUUUGAGAGAGUCUCAACUUUCAGUAUGGUUGUACAAUAGUUUGUAGGCCAAACCGUUCGGACACUACAUACGAUUUUGUGAAAUACUGAAUUUCAGGAUGUCUCAUGGUCUGACAAACCCCACUCUAGCUCUGCCAUCUUUCACCGGAGAUACUGAAGUGCGAUAUUGGCCCAUGCGGAAAAAAAACAUCUCUCUAGCUUAAACAGACAGAUUUUUUUAUAUUAUGUUAAUUAGAUUUCCGUGGGAGUGUGACCAUUGUAGGCAGAGUUACAUGUAUUUAUUUCAGUUUUUGACUAAUAAUGUUCUGUAUUAUUUUAUGUUUCAUGUGGACACCCGGAAGUGUAGCUGAUUAUUUUGCAGCGGCUAAUGGGGAUUCUAAUAAAUACCAAAAUAUCAAAUAUAUUGAGAUUAGGAUAUUAACCUGAUCCUAGACAUUUAGAGUUAACCUUAAGCACUUAGUGUAGCACAGCUUAAUAUGCUCUGGGAAUAAAUUUAUCAGCAUGCCCUCACCCUAUUCCUAAACCCUACAGAUAAACUCUAAAUCAUAAACCCUAAACUUGCCCUAGCUACCUUGAAUCCUAAACCCUAGGUUUGCCCUCCCCCAAAUCUUAACCCUAUGGAGAAACUCUACUUUAAAUAUUCAACUCUAGACUUGUCUUAGCUACCUUAAAUCCUGAACCCUAGUGAGAAACCCUGCCUAUAAUUCUAAACCCCAGGGAGAAACCCUGCCUAUAAUUCUAAACCCCAGGGAGAAACCCUGCCUAUAAUUCUAAACCCCAGGGAGAAACCCUGCCUAUAAUUCUACACCCCAGGGAGAAACCCUGCCUAUAAUUCUACACCCCAGGGAGAAACCCUGCCUAUAAUUCUACACCCCAUGGAGAAACCCUGCCUAUAAUUCUACACCCCAGGGAGAAACCCUGCCUAUAAUUCUACACCCCAGGGAGAAACCCUGCCUAUAAUUCUACACCCCAGGGAGAAACCCUGCCUAUAAUUCUACACCCCAGGGAGAAACCCUGCCUAUAAUUCUACACCCUAGGGAGAAACCCACACAAAACUGACCUUAGAUGAGUAUUUUGUUAUCUUGAUCAUAUUAGAAGUAUUCCAUAUCAGACCUAUCCUAUGCAACAACAUUAUAAAUGUGAGCGUUAACAACGUACAUUAUGAUAAUUCAAGGUUACUUUUCAAUACUGUAUUCAUAUACAUUACAGUAUGGCCUUAGAGUCGUCACAGUUAGGGAGAGUUACCAGAAAGUACAUAACAGAGAAGAAAACUAAUUAUGACCAUUAAAUCUGCAAAACAUAGGGUAUAGUGUGACACUUUUCAGACUAGGACAGUAGUUAGAGUGAAUCCAAUAAAUUGAACUUUAAUUCAUGAUUAUCCCACAUUCCCAUGUCGUCUUCACUGCCCGUCACUGUACUGGAUCGUCCACUGUCACCGGAUACCCACAGUCAAGGGUCACGUACGUAAACUGGGGAGGACAGGCCAGUCUUCUCCAGGUGAUGCCACUCAAGACUAUAGGAGAGGAGAAAGGAGUAGAUUCAUAUUGUUUUCUGUCAAAUUGAUAUCGGUCUAAGCCACUGCCUCCGGAAUACACGUACCAGUGCAAAAGUGGGUUCAAAUCUAUCCCACUGCUAUUCAAGCACCCCUGUACUAUUCAAGCACCACAGUACUUUCUAAUUAUAUACAAGAACAACAAAUAUUUAAAUGGAUACCUUCAGUAAUUGGAGAGUUGUCGACCGAUGCGAACAAAUCCUCUUUUGCUUCUCUCGUUGUUCUCACACUCUGGUCCCCCGAAGAUCUGAACCGUCUCCUUCUCCUGCUUCGGCAUGUUGUCAAACUCAUCCACCAUGGUCGUCGUCACUGUCACACAGUUCCUGAUGACCUUCCAACCUGGUCUGAUCAGGUCGUUUCUCUCUUCCGGAACAGACAUUGCGUCAGCCAGUGCAAAGCCAACACUGAGGAGCAGAGAGAUGGUCAACAGCAUCUUCAUGGUGAUGAGAAUUGAUAGAGUGAGUCUGAGUGUUUGGUUCAGCUUCAGUAACAAGAUGCUGGAGGCUGCAUGCAUUUUGUCUCCAACAAC
rnacentral:lncRNA from 1 species